GAAAAAGGCCACAAUCAAAUGAGUUCUCCUGUUGUGGCAGCUCAAGACGGACAAAUGGAAGACUCGAGAACUUCUUCGCAACAUCCUCUCCUACUUCCUUGUGCCUCUCUUUCCACUCUUCCAAUAAGUAACUUUGUAUAAGAUUCUUCAGGCCUUUGUGGGUCCCCCGGAUUGAGUCCAUGUGCAAGAUGCAUGGAACCCUAGAUGAUUUCUCCAUUUCUUCCUCUCUAAACGUAACAACCUCGCCAGGGUGACAGAUGACUAUCAAACUCCAGUGGAGA
rnacentral:misc_RNA from 1 species